GUGCCAGCCGCCGCGGUAAUACGUAGGUGGCAAGCGUUGUCCGGAUUUAUUGGGUUUAAAGGGUGCGUAGGUGGUCUAUUAAGUCAGUGCUGAAAUAUCCCGGCUUAACCGGGAGGGUGGCAUUGAUACUGAUGGACUUGAGUAAAGUUGAGGUUGGCGGAAUUGACGGUGUAGCGGUGAAAUGCUUAGAUAUCGUCAAGAACACCUAUAGCGAAGGCAGCUAACUAAGCUUUAACUGACACUGAUGCACGAAAGUGUGGGGAUCAAACAGGAUUAGAUACCCUGGUAGUCCACACUGUAAACGUUGAUGACUCGCUGUUGGCGAUACACAGUCAGCGGCUUAGAGAAAUCGUUAAGUCAUCCACCUGGGGAGUACGCCGGCAACGGUGAAACUCAAAGGAAUUGACGG
rnacentral:rRNA from 1 species